CAUUACACAAUAACAUAUGAAGGCUGUACGCCGCUGCGCCCCCGGGCCAGUUGGCUGAGGCUGGAUUAUUUAUUACCCUUGUCUUUUGCGCACUUGUUGUUUCCUGGGCGGGUUCGCCCGCCUCCAGGACCACACCAUAAACCUUUUUUAUGCAGUUGCAAUCAGCGUCAGUACAACAAAUGUAAAUCAUUUACAACUUUCAACAACGGAUCUCUUGGUUCUGGCAUCGAUGAAGAACGCAGCGAAAUGCGAUACGUAGUGUGAAUUGCAGAAUUCAGUGAAUCAUCGAAUCUUUGAACGCACAUUGCGCCCUUUGGUAUUCCAAAGGGCAUGCCUGUUCGAGCGUCAUUUGUACCCUCAAGCUUUGCUUGGUGUUGGGCGUUUUUGUCUUUGGUUUGCCAAAGACUCGCCUUAAAACGAUUGGCAGCCGGCCUCCUGGUUACGCAGCGCAGCACAUUUUUGCGCUUGCAAUCAGCAAGAGGGCGGCACUCCAUCAAGACUCCUUCUCACGUUUGACCUCGGAUCAGGUAGGGAUACCCGCUGAACUUAAGCAUAUCAAUAAGCGGAGGAAAAGA
rnacentral:sRNA from 1 species